rnacentral:lncRNA from 1 species
CUAAAACACCAUGGAAGGGCUUCUUCAAGCUGGUUCUUCAUAUUUUUAUUACAAGUAAGUUCAAUUCUUGACUAUUUCUUGAAAUUUUUGUAUUUGUAUGACUUUUACAACUAGGCCCACUUGUUAAAUUCAUUAGUUUUUGAUUUUAUGAAAGAAGUUGAAAGUUGAUAUGAAUAUGUGCUGAAAUUAUAUGAUGAUUUAUCAUGAAAUUAGAGCUUUAAAUUGUUCAUAUGCUGAUUUUAUUGAAAGAAUUGAAUAAAAAGUGAAUGUUUGGGACCUAAUAGUAAAAGAGUUUGAAGAUAGAGUUAUAUGUGGAAAUUCUGGAUUUCAAUAGUUGAGUAAUAACUUAUAAUGUCUAGGUAAAGUAUUAAUUGAGAAAAUUAGAUUAAUUGAGGGGUUAAUUGAGAAAGGACCGAAUUGUAUAAACUGUGAAAUUUGGGGCAAAAUGGAAAUCAACAUUUUGCACUAAAGCAGUUUUGGACAGCAGCAGUAGUGUAACUUUGAAAAAUCACCAAAAAUUGUAGAGAUUGAAUUAGAGGAUGAAUAAAAUAUGAAACUAAAGCUUAUUGAGUCUAGUUUCUUAUAAAAGAAAUGGUGUGAGCAAUGUAAUUGUAAAUCAUGAGAUAUAAUAGAUUUUGUGAGACAAGGUCAGAAUGAAUUCGGGUUCCCCUGUUCUGACUUUGGAAAAUCAUUAAAAAUCGUACAAAAAUUAUUAUGAGUUAUAAUUUAUAUGGUUAGAAUCCUUAAUGAGUCUAUUUUUAUAAGAAACAAAUGAAAAUAUCAUCCAAAUUCUUUACAAUUAGAUAAUUAAUUUUUAGUAAAGAGUGGUCGGAACUGUCAGACAGCGAAAUAGGGGAAACUUUAAAGAAUAAACUGUACUAUUUUGCUGAACCAAAAAUUAUAAAAAUUUUAUGAUAUGAAUAUAUGUGAGUCUAGUUUCAGGAAAAAUUAACGGAUCUUAAUUUGGAGCUCUGUAGCUCCGGAUAAAAAUAAUUUAGUGACUCUGACUCGGAUAAACAGUUUUGAAUAUACAUGUGAGUAAAUAGUGAAAUUAUAGCUAAUGUUGUUUAAGUGUGUUAUACACAUUAAGGAUGUGGAAUGGAGAGGAGGAGGAGGAAAAUCGGGAAAUAUAUGAAUGAUUUGUGUAUAAUUGGUCAUAUGCUUGAUUUUAAUUGAUAAACGAUGAAGUAUGAAUUAUACUUAUAUUUGUGCAUUAUUGGUCAUGGUUUAAACUCAUGUGUGAAAAUAAAGUUUCAUAGUAUGUGUGUAUGGUAUAUUCAGUAUAUGAUGUGGCAUGAAAUAAUGUCAUGAAUGGUUUAUGAAUUAACACAUGUUGGUAAGCCUGAUAUAUGAAUAAAUGAUCAAAUUGAGCGGAACGCCGGAUUUGAGUACUUCUGAUCAAGUGAUAAAGUGAUAAGUGGUAGCAUUAGCUACACUUAUCUGAUCAAGUGAGAAAGUGAUAAGUGGUAGCAUUAGCAUUAGCUACACUUAUCUGAUCAAGUGAGAAAGUGAUAAGUGGUAGCAUUAGCUACACUUAUCUGAUCAAGAGACAAAGUGAUAAGUGGUAGCUUUAGCUACACUUAUCUGAUCAAGUGAAAAAGUGAUAAGUGCUAUACUUAUCUGAUCAAGUGACAAAGUGAUAAGUGUUAGCCUUAGCUACACUUAUCUGAUCAAGUGAGAAAGUGAUAAGUGGUAGCCUUAGCUACUCUUAUCUGAUCAAGUGACAAAGUGAUAAGUGAUAGCCUAGCUACACUUAUCUGAUCAGGGACAAGUGAUAAGUGAUCAUAUGUAAGACCAUAGUUAUACUAUGGCAAAGUGAAAGUGAAGUACUCAAUUUUCCGUAACCGUUCCCUAAUUUGAUUAAGGAUGGUAAGUGACAAAUGGGCCCAAAAGAAUUAAAGUAAAUGGAUAAGUGGUAGUGUAUUUAUAUCAGGACGAUGUUGUUAUUCAAGCUAAAAUGAUAUUUUCGUUGCAAAAUUGAGAAUUUCAUAAAUGUGUUAUUGAAUGGUAUAAUCAAUAAACAUUGAGUUAAAUGGUAAAUACAUUAGUGUUGAACUUGAUGUCAUUGAAUUGUACGUGAAUUAAAUGGAAAUUGCUAGUGAUAUGAUCUAAAUCGUGAGCAUGAGAAAUUGCGAAUUGAGGGAAAUGGAAAUGAAGCAUUGAAUUACAUGAGUAUGUAUCGGGUCUCGUAAGCCCUAAUUAUUAUGAUUAUAACAUUUUGAGGAUAUACUGUGAAAAGUUAUAGAAGCAUGUUAAUUAUUUUGAAAGUUUUAAUUUAAAUGAAAUUUUAUAACUCGGUUAAAUACGUUUACAAGUGCAUGUGUUUUGGUAAUGCCUCGUACCCUAUUCCGGUAUUGAAUACGGGUAAGGGGUGUUACAAAAGAAAUAAAAAAAUACCAAAAUAAUAUAACAAAAAAAUUAUUUACCAAAAUAAUACAAAAAAAGACGGCUGAAGGAGGGCAAUGGAAAGGCGGCACCAAAGGUGCCUUUCCUAUAGGCGACACAGGACUAAAAUGUAAUGAUCUGUAGUUUCAAGGACCUGACAUGUAAAUUUACCAUUUUAAAUUUUAAAAGUGAAUUGGUGCCGCCUGUGGGUGUGGCGGGCACUAAAGUUGAAACGUGGCUAAUUACCUUCUAAGCCCUCCUUAUUUAUUAUUUUCUUUUUAUUCCCCUUCAACUCACUUUUUUAUUUAAAAAACAAGCCCUCAACCUAUUUUUGUAGUUAAAUAAGCUCUUAAUCUAUGAUUUUUACUCAUAAAAGCCCUUUAUUUUAUUAUUGAAGUAAAUAUAUUUUACCUAAAGUAAAGCUAUUUAAAAAAGUAUAAACCAAUUCGCAUUUUAUGUAUUAUUUUGAUAAUUUGAUGAGAAUAGUUUAUUAAAUAAAAAAAAAAGUUACUAAAUUUACUAUUUUUUUAUUUACUAAAUUCCAAUUUCAUUUUUUUUAUUUUGGGCAACUAUUAUUCGGAUUUAUUCAGAUGUUUGGAUAUAUUUUAUUUUAUUAAUCAUACAUUAUAAUAAUUUAAUUAUGAUUAUAUUUGUAAUUGCAUUUAUUAUUUUUUAAUGCGUUAGUCAUUUUGGAAUUUGGUAAAGCAAUUAGAAUUUAGGGUACCUAGGUGACAAAUAUUUUUCAAAAUGAGUUUUUUUGGAGAGUACAUUAGCAAAAACAAAGCAAUCUAGGAACCUUAAUAGGAGAGUUAAAGGAUGCUAACCACACGUAAACACAAUUCUUAAUUGGUGUUAGGUUGCUGAAUUUCCUCAGAAUAUACAUAUAAAUGUAAAGAAGAUACAUAUCAAAAUAUUAUAGAAAGUAAAGGGGCAAAAGAUUUUUUGGUUAAUAAACUAGUAAAUUAUUUUCUUAAAUCUAUUAAAAAUAUUAUUAUUAAUACGUAUAAAUAAAAUCCAAAUCACUAAUGACCAACAUGGUAGUUAGCUCAAGUGUCAAAAUUUGAAAACAAAACAAUAAUUGUUGGAGAGUAAAAACAAUAGUUUUGUUUUUGUGAUAGUCAGUCAUAUAAUGACAAGUCAACACCAUAGAAAUAAGUCAAGCGAAAACUAGCGCAGGUUUUCAAAUAUUUGUUUCGCAGGUGUUGAAAGGAGGUGAUGAGAGAGAAAGGAUGAAAUUAUAACACGCCAUGUGAACGCUGGACAAAAUUCUCGGUAUAAUGUCGUUGACCCCUUCUGUGCUAGGGUGGCCACCAUUGGCUGGCUACUACUGCUUUUUGGUUAGGUUUUUGGUCCUUCCUUGCCAGGGACUUUUUGGGGCGGUGCAUCUCCACUGCUUAAAUAUUCUUUUUACUUUUAUAUAUAUAUGCUAAUUGGUACAUCCACUAUGCUGUCAAAUUCCCAACUCCAUCUCCAAUGUCAACAGCCUGAGAAAGUUGCCAUUUCUGAUGCUCAUUGGAUAUAAUUUUCUAAUUGCAUAAAGAUGAAGCUAAACAUUUUAUUUGUUAGCAAGAUAUAAUUUUUUGACUUAUUAUCCAUCUUUGUAUGUAUGCUGCGAGUUAACUCAUAUUGGCAAGUGUAUUAUAUUUGAAUCAAAUAAGUAGCAGUGGCGAGUUGGUAAAUAUUAUGCAUGUAGUAGUGAUCAAGUUUGGCACUAUGAAA